ensembl:lncRNA
UUAAGAGGGAACUGGACAGUACGUUGGUGUCCUCCACUGUUUGGCAGUGUAGCGUCUCCCAACGUUAAAGACUUUUUGAAGUAAAGAGGAGCAUCUCAUCUGAACCUGAUGUCUAUCAUGGAUAUUUAACUGCAGUUCUGUGAGUAUCCCAACUUAACCAUGAAGAUGAACUGCAAACUGUAAGUCAUUAAUUUCUCAUUACUCUUGGGCACAUUGAUGUAUUUUGGCUGCCUGGUGAGUUAACCUGUUACCUGAAGGUUGAUCUGAGUAGUAAGGAUCUUUUAUUGGUUCAUGGGUUUCUUAGGUGUUUGGUUUAUGUUGGUUUUAAUGAUUUGUUAAAAUGGUUAGGCUCUAAGAUGUUGUUGUAAACUAGAGUAAUGGGUUGGGUUCUGAUAUCUUCAGUCUUCUUUCAUUCUACUCUCCUGAGCUCUGCAUCUUCAUCACAUGUGUUGCGUUACUGAUGAGGGUGUGGUCUGAGUGAGCGGAGGUGCAUACUGGGAUACAGAGCUGUCUGAAGUCUACAGGUCCGUAGACACGCCCCCCUCAGGGGAAACCAAGUGUUUGAGAAACUGUCGUGACGUCAGUUACAUGGACUGGAAUGUUCUUUAAAAUGGACUCGGGGAUUCCGAAGGAGAAACACCAGGGGGAGAUGAGGGGGCUCCUCAUCUCAACGACUAAAACACAACUUCAGUCUGACACAGAGAACCAUGGAACACAUUCAACAGUCCCCUCCAGGCAUCGUGACUCCUCAGGAACGGUUUCAUUUCCAUGAAGGUCUUAUUUUGGGCCAUCCCCAGAUGGAUCCUGCUCCUCAAGAGCCACCCCCCCUCCACUGUGUGGUCUUCUGAACAGAUGACCUCCUUUCUGUCCUCAGGCUGACUAAAGCUGCACCGUUUGCAUCUGUGAAGGCCCCUCAUUCAGGAAACCACUGGACUACAAAGACGUGACUUCAGAGACGUUGAAUCAACCUGGGACAUAUUUUGGAGACGCCAAGCAUAAUCCAUCACCAACGUGUGACGCAACUGAAGAAUGUUGUACAUAAGUAAUCGUCUCUGGAGACAUUGGUUGUUCUGUUCUGGGUGCCCUGGCAGGAGAGCUAGGGGGGGUGAUGAAAUGUUAUUUGGCAUGAGGUUUUUACCCUGCAUGAUUGUUUGGCCUUUUAUGGCUCAGUGGUGUGUGUGUUUGGGUUUGACAUGAGAUGGAUAAUUUUUGAGCAUCGCUAGGGUUCUACUGUGUAUGUGUCUCCCACUCACACCUGGCUUGGGGUUCUACGUGCCUGUCCUGGGUUCUAUGUGUGUGUCUGGCUUGCUUUGACAGUGAUAAUGUUCAUACGGGGGUCUUUGUGAUUGGCUUGGGAUUUGGAAUGGUCAAAUAAAUCAUACCUGAUGGCCGGCCACACGUUUACUUAAGGGCCUCCAGUAGACCUGAAGAGCCCUGAGCGACGCCCAGGAGCGAUAUUCAACACACUGGGCAGGAAGGAGAGUAUCCAAAUCAAGUGUAAAAGGAUGCAAGCGGCGUGUUCAGAUCAGUGACUUGAAACUAGGACUGCACCAAUCAGGAUCAAUGGAGGAUGGACACCUAAAGGCAUUCCACAAGGAGAGUCUGACGUUGGAAAGGGACCUAAAUGGAUAUUCAAGAUAACCUUCAGACCUGUAAUGAGACGGCUCUUCCUACCUUGCUGGAUUGAUGGAGAGCCUUGUGGAUUUUGUCUUGUUCUCAGUUGCACGUCUUCUCAGGCUGAACUGUAUUUGUUUCGGACAGGACAAGCUGAACGAUUGGUUCCCUUAAAUCAGAACCAGUCCGGGAACUCCAGCUCGUGCGCUCUUCGAGCUGAAGUUGUGCUCUUCAGCUGAGGUCAGGAAACCUUCACUGGGGCUUCAAGCUGUAAAAAGGAGAAUGUUUCGAAGUGUUCCAUGGUACUCUGAUGAGGACCGUUGUUGUGUUCCACUGGCUGAGAGGAAGAACCCUCACAUCUUACUCUUGGCCUUUCUCCUCUGAGAAUCCUGGCGCCAUCUUGAAGGAUAUUCCAGCUCAUGUAAUUGAUGUCACGACAGAUUCUCACACAUUUGGUUUCUCCUGAGGGGCGUGUCUAUAGAACUGAAGACUUCAGACGGCACUGUAUCCCAGCAUGCAUCUCUGCUCACUCAGACCCCCCCCCCCAUGAGUAGGAUGCUACAUUCUAGUGAUGGAGAUGUAGAGUUUUAUAAGUAACAAGGGAGCAGACAAAGGUGAUUAGAACACAAUGGCAUGUCAAGUCUGUAAAUCUUUAAACCAUGAAGAUGGUUGGAUAGUUCAGGAAUUGGGCUUCUAUUUAUUAUGAGCAGUCCUUUCGCUCAGAUGCCCACUUCUCACUGGACCUGUACAUGUGUUGGCUGGCUUGCAUGAUUUGCUGUUGGUGAUGAGGCGGUCAAGGUGACAUUGCAGGGCUAUGGUCGGCUCUCUGUGAGUUCAACGGUUGGAUUUGCUCUGUAUGGUUUGUACCCUGAAUAAUCUAGAUAAUUGUAAAAUGGAGACACUGUUUUGUAGUGAAUGAUUCCAUUGUUCUGAGGCAAGGAUCUGAGGUUUAAAGUUGUUGUGGGACGUACAUGGUAGUUUGGUUCUUCGUACGGUUUUGAGUGAUAUAACAUGUACACACUGGGUGCAUAAUAAUGUAAAGGUACACUGAAUGGUAGUAAUGACCAACAGCAACAAACAGAUCUCGUCAAGGUAAGUCUGUUGGCUGUGUUUUAAUGAAGACCAUCGCUGGACCUCAGGAUCUUCCUCCGUUCAGCUCAAGGUGAGGAGCUGGUUCUGUUUUUUCUUUGGUUGGUUCCGGCCGGAAUGUUCGGAUUCCAGUCGGACGGUUUGUGCUUCCCGCCGUGGAAGUUUCUGAGUGCCGUCACUUGAUUUAGUCCCAAUGGUUAGCAUAGAACGUUGUAGUCUUGACAACCAUUAGAAACCACCUGGCAGUUAGUUGGUCAGGAGUCCCCUGAGGGAAUCUGGCUGAACGUUCUGGAUUGUAUUUGAGUAACCUCGAGCCAUUGCCAACGGAAACUAUUUUUCAGUCGGUUUCCAUUGGGAAUUGUUGCCCCUUAUCUUAAACAACUUAAAUUUGAUAUUAAAUACAUACUGACAAGUAAGUCGUACAAUACAGUGUUGAUAAUUUUCGAUGGUUGCGCCGUACUUUUAACCACGGUGACGGGACUCUCGCUGCGUACAAAACGGCUUUCUACUUGCGGCCCCAUUUUUGACAUCGGUGAAGGCUGAAAAUCAUUACAAGGUGGAAGACAAUUUGACAUUUCUUCAAAGGAACCCAGCACCUGAAUAUGGCUGAGUAAAUUUGAUUUAAUAUCGAUAUUGCUUACUGUUCUUUGUUACUUCAGCUUUUGUACGUUCUAAAUAUCUGCUGUCAUUAAUUGCCACAGAAGUUAAACCCUACCCAAUGGAAUGACGUUAAACAAAGACUUUGGUGCAGAUUUACCAACUGGAUAAUAUCAAAGCUAAAAUAUUGGCCGUCAUUCCCACAUGUUACAGUAGAAGAGACUCUAGAACUGUACAAGGUUAAAAAGGUAACAUGUCGUUUGUACCAUGGUGUCUGCCUCCACCUCCUCACCCAGAGCAAGACCUCCACCUCCUCACCCAGAGCAAGACCUCCACCUCCUCACCCAGAGCAAGACCUCCACCUCCUCACCCAGAGCCAGACCUUCACCUCCUGUCAGAAGGCCUCCAGAACAGCUGAAAUGAGAGGCUGGGGUCCGGAGGCUUGUGGUGCCAGGGUGGACCGGAGACUGAGGCUGGAGACCAGCGGCCUGCAGCACCGGACCAGAGGACCAGCUGAUGGAGGAGUCGUGCUGAAGGCCCUGCCUGGUGGAGGAGCUGGUGGAGGCCCUGCCUGGUGAAGGACGUCUGUCGUGGGACCAGGACUCUGUCUGAGGAGAGCUGCUGGAGGAGCUGCUACGAUGCUGGAGGACGACUAGGAAUCGACCAACAAGGAUUCCUCAACGGAAAUACUGGAAAUAAAGGGCUUAAAAAUAAGACAAACUACAUGUUUGUUACCAGACUUUAGGGCCAGACUCGGGCUGUUUGUUCCAGACCAGGACUCUGGCUGAGGAGAGCUGAUGGAGGAGCCAAGACUCUGGAGGACGACAUCACUCCACCAACCAGGAUCCUCGUAAGUUUGCAUAAAAUAAACAGAGUGGACUUGUUGUAACGCAGGAUUAGUUUGUCCAGUACAAGUUACGGCAUACUACUGUGUUUGUUUACCAGACAAACUAGAGCUGCUACUUUGUUCCGCGCCAUUAGAGCCCAACUACUCCUGUGUUUGUGACCUUACAUUAGAGCCCAACUACUACUGGGUUUGUUACCUGAUAUUUGAGACAAAUUACUACUGUGUUUGUUAACUUACAUUAGAGACAAAUUACGUUUGUAACCAGACCAGGAAUCUGGAGGACUGAUGGAGAAGCCGUACAUCUGGAAGGCAAAUCCUGAGGACAACCAGGACUGUCUGACCUCCAGUGGGAGUGAUCUUCUUGACCCAACAUGUAACCGUGUGCUUCCACACGCCUUUCCCUCACGUCUGUCACUAACCUCACUACUUCACUACUCUCUACUGCUUCCUCUUUUCUUCCUUCUGGUUCAAACCUUCACACUGAAGGCGCGCCUUCCUGCCCUCAGAGGGUUCAGCGUUAGGGUUGAGAGUCAGGGUUUAGAGUCAGGGACAGAGCUGGUCAGGGAGGACUGCUUUUACACAAACCUCUUGACUUGCUUUCGGAAUGGUGGUGACAUUUUGAAAAGAUUCAUUUGGGAAAAUGUUUUCCUCUGCUUUCCUUUACAAAAUUGUAUUAAACUUCUGUCAAGUAUUUUUGUUUAUAUAUUCAAAUCCCACAUUGACUUCUACAUGUUUGGUGCGGUUCAUUUAAUUGUCUUUUAACUUGGUUAAUGUCAAGCUAAACUCCUGCAAUACAUUUAAUAUACAUGAUUGUUAUUCAGCAAUGUUCACAUAAUCCAUUUUGUAAAAAUAUGAAACCUCCAUAUUACUACUAAAUUCAAGCCUAUUCAUGUAUUUAACAAUGUGCACACUACCCCGCAGGCCGUUCUCUGCUACUACAACACGUUCAAUCCACCAACCCGUCUCACAUUAAUGUACUACGUUGGUUCAAACGGAAAAUGUAGUUUGGUGUGAGACUGUUGUCCAGCAGAGGGAGCUGUUAUACACCUUAAUUAUACAGGAAUGUCUGUGUAUUUACAUUUUACAAUGUUCAUGGGCUGGUCUAGUUUGUCUGCAAAUGACUCUGCCUCCAGCCACAGGAUUGGUCGAAACAUAUGAAGUGAAAGAAAUAAAAGCCCAGUUCACCAUAUCUGAGGUCAGCUGCGGUCAGAUUUUGGAUCAUGAAUGUAUUGAGUGAACGACGUCUGAGCUAAAUAACCACCUGGUACUUGGUGUGUUUCCUGGAGCUCGGAAGACGGCAGGACGCGUGUUUACCUGGUCGAUUAGGCCCUGAACGCAGACCCUGAACCCAGACAUCCUAAUCACAGACCCUGUGUUUAAUUAGCCCAAAAUAUAAUUUUUGGGUUAAAAUGAAAGUAAAAAAAUGUAUAAGUACUAGCCUAGUCUAGAUAGUCCUUCUGGCAAGAGAGUAAACAGUUUAAAAACAUAACAUUUUUACCACCUCAAGUGAAUCAACCUAUCCUAUCCCCAGUCAGGUGUGUGUGUGUGUGUGUGUGUGUGUGUGUGUGUGUGUGUGUGUGUGUGUG